rnacentral:rRNA from 1 species
GUCGAGCGAAUCUUUGGGAGCUUGCUCCCAUUGGUUAGCGGCGGACGGGUGAGUAACACGUGGGCAACCUGCCUGUAAGACUGGGAUAACUUCGGGAAACCGGAGCUAAUACCGGAUAAUCUUUUUCCUCUCAUGAGGAAAAAUUGAAAGUCGGUUUCGGCUGACACUUACAGAUGGGCCCGCGGCGCAUUAGCUAGUUGGUGAGGUAACGGCUCACCAAGGCGACGAUGCGUAGCCGACCUGAGAGGGUGAUCGGCCACACUGGGACUGAGACACGGCCCAGACUCCUACGGGAGGCAGCAGUAGGGAAUCUUCCACAAUGGACGAAAGUCUGAUGGAGCAACGCCGCGUGAGCGAUGAAGGCCUUCGGGUCGUAAAGCUCUGUUGUUAGGGAAGAACAAGUACCGGAGUAACUGCCGGUACCUUGACGGUACCUAACCAGAAAGCCACGGCUAACUACGUGCCAGCAGCCGCGGUAAUACGUAGGUGGCAAGCGUUGUCCGGAAUUAUUGGGCGUAAAGCGCGCGCAGGCGGUCCUUUAAGUCUGAUGUGAAAGCCCACGGCUCAACCGUGGAGGGUCAUUGGAAACUGGGGGACUUGAGUGCAGAAGAGGAAAGCGGAAUUCCACGUGUAGCGGUGAAAUGCGUAGAGAUGUGGAGGAACACCAGUGGCGAAGGCGGCUUUCUGGUCUGUAACUGACGCUGAGGCGCGAAAGCGUGGGGAGCAAACAGGAUUAGAUAC